AACAUAAGGGCUCCCAUGAAUAUCCUUGUGCAAAGCUCUUUGGGUCCAUCUGAUUAUUUUCUUAGGCUACAUCUCUAGCAGCAGGAGAGACAGAGUCAAAGGGUAAGGGUGAGAUUUGUUUGGUUAUCUGCAAACAGAACUUGACUGCUAUUUUAAAAGGUGCACCGAUUUACACCCCUGGUGACUGGUCUAUCUGAAGCUAGGUUCAAAUAAGGCUUUUAGUGUUUAUUUUCAAAUACUUUGGCGUCCUACCCAGGUAAAUACUCAGUUUGACUUCACUUUGCACUGUCCCCACGGCGAGAAGGAGCUCGCUCUGUCCCCUCGGGCUCGGUUUUGCUGGAGGACAGCACUUUGGGGCAUGGCUUUAAAAGGUCAGCCAGUGCACAGGCGGAACGGCGGGGACACAGGCGGCACCACUUCACCGCGAGCCCAGAAGGGGGCGGACGACUGCUCUCCACUCUUCACACAGUCAGGCCCUCCCCAAGGACGCACCUCCAGGGAAAUAGCUCCAGUCUAAAUGUUAACGAUCACCCCAACCCCCGCCGCACCCACUCCCCGCAGCUAGGCCUUCGGACCGAAGAUCACACCCACUUCCGCCCUCGACGUCUCAGCACCUCCCCCUCCGCCCGAGUGCCUCACCUCAAGGACCACUUUGCGCAUGCGCCCCAGCUCUUGGAGGUAAGCGGUGGUGUGCGGGUGGUCGCGGUGAGUGUGCAAGGCCGCGGUGGCCGCGUGACAAGCCUGCGCCACCAGUGCGCCCGCCGGCCAGGAGAACGGAGCUUGUGAUAGAUCCUUUCGUAACACCAAGUAUUGUACCAGGACCUGCGGCUCCGCCCCAGAGGCCGCCAUCUUCCUCACCACCCGAAAGGCCGGACCUACUCCCCGGUGCAUCCUGGGAUCAGGGCGGGGCCCUGAGCGCCGCCAUGUUUUUGUACGGCAGGAUCGCAAAGCACGCCGGGACCGGUUGGCUUGGUUUUGAAGACGUGGAUGGCGGGAAUUCUCGCCCCUGGCCUGGGUGAGCUAGAAGGGAGAAGCAAGGACAUUGAGGUCCCUAUCACCGCUUGCCUAGACAACUUCAUGGGAAGGCCCUUGGCAAUCUGAGAUGGAGCAGGCGAACCCUUUACGUCCAGAUGGCGAGUCUAAAGGAGGUGUUUUAGCUCACUUGGAAAGGCUAGAGAACCAAACGAGCAGAUCCCGUAAACGGCCUGAAGAGCCGCAGAGCGCGCAGGCCCAGGAGCGUGUUCUUGGAACCAAGAUUCAGAAACUAAGGCACCUGCGAGAUGAUCCGAGGGCUGCGCGGCGGCACCGGCGAGGCGGCGUGAAAGCAUGUAUUGCCAAUGUAGAACCCAACCGAACAGUGGAGGUCAAUGAGCAAGAAGCAUUGGAAGAGAAACUGGAAAACGUGAAAGCCAUUCUGCAGGCGUAUCAUUUUACAGGCCUCAGUGGUAAGCUGACCAGCCGAGGAGUUUGUGUCUGCAUCAAUACUGCUUUUGAGGGGAACCUAUUGGAUUCCUAUUUUGUGGACCUUGUCAUACAGAAACCACUCCGGAUACAUCACCAUUCAGUUCCAGUCUUCAUUCCUCUGGAAGAAAUAGCUGCAAAAUACUUACAGACCAACAUCCAGCACUUCCUGUUCAGUCUCUGCGAGUACCUGAAUGCUUACUCUGGGAGGAAGUACCAGGCAGACCGGCUUCAGAGUGACUUUGCAGCCCUCCUGACUGGGCCCUUGCAGAGAAACCCACUGUGUAACUUGCUGUCAUUUACUUACAAACUGGACCCAGGCGGUCAGUCCUUCCUGUUCUGUGCUAGAUUGCUGUAUAAGGAUCUCACAGCAACUCUUCCCACUGACGUCACCGUGACAUGUCAAGGAGGGGAAGCAUUAUCCACUUCAUGGGAGGAGCAACGAGCAUCUCAUGAAACUCUGUUCUAUACGAAGCCCCUGCAUCAAGUGUUUGCCUCAUUUGCAAGAAGAGAAAAGUUGGAGAUGAGUCUGGUCUCCUAAUAGAUUGUUUUCACUGCACUGGGAACACCUCAGAGCUCUCCCUUGCCCAGGCACAGAUAGGAGUCAGGAGUCAUGACUGGCCCAAGGCCACGUUCAGACUUAAGCUGCAAUGGCCACUUCCUAGACUUCACGGUCAUGAAGUAACCUCCAUGUGGGAGAGCUCCGGGAACAGUGCAGAGGACUAAAGCCAGCUUGGAGUACGCUUUAGAAGAAAGCAGUUGAAGAAUAGUUCCGGGGUACAGUGAGCUAUGACGAGACCUUCAAGCUCCUGCCUUCCAGGCCUAUGGUGGGGACCAGUGGCAUGAGUCAGCAAAGUACAGCACUCCUCAGAUAAGUGAUAUUACCACAGUUUCCACCAUCACUUUCAAGUUGAAUAAAGCUUUUAAUAAAACAGUCUUGUUCUUUAUCAAUACCUGUAAAUUCUCUUAAAGCAGUAGCAAAGGCGACUGUAGCAAGAGCUCAAAAGGCAAGGCAAUGUCGGAGUGUAUUUAACAGAAGAUUAAAAAUAUAAAUGUAGAAGAUCUGUUUAUAUAUUUUUCUUUCAGAAAUAAACCCCCCCUCCCCUGCCAGGUGAAAGGAAAUAUUGUACUUUCUGCUCUCAUGGCUAAGGGGACAGGGGUUCCAGAAGAACCUUUCAAGAUGAUGAGGAACACCAGGACGAGGGCCAUCUCACCUCACUUGGACCACAUGGAGACCACCAGGCUCGAGGCUGUUCAGGAGUUGUCUACCACCUGGUGGGGCAGUGUGACAGAGGGGCCGUUGGGGAAGGUGGCUGGCUUGUCCCGCCCCUUCAAGAAGAAGGUCAGCAACUCCCCCUUUCCCUUCACAAAGAUGGGGCCUCGCCUCACAAAGCGGAAGCCGUACUCUCGGAGGAUGACUUGGGUUUCUUCUACCACCUGUAGAGGGAUGGGGAGCAAGAAUGUGGUGUUACUGGGGGAGCCUAGACUGAGGGCGGGUGGGGCUUUGGGUGGUUGGAGCUGAGCACUGAUCCAUGGGUCCCAGGCAGUACAGGGCCCUCAGCACCCUUCCCAAACCUCCCAGGGCCAAGCCCUUCCUUCCACCCCCGGUGAGCAGCGGGUGGGCAGGAGAGCCCUGGAGUGACUGGCUGGGGGCCUCCUCUCGCCCAGAGACUUCUCUCCUAGGACAGCCAUGGUCACCCGGGUGGCAGCACUGUUGCCUGGAAACUGCCACUGCCUGCUCUUGUAUCCCUUUGCCCCUUUCAUGGAGCUCUUCUGCCAGAGCCCACUGAGACAGAUCACAAGGUAUCGGAAGGUUCAUACCCAGAGGCAGGCCAUACGCACCCAGAACUUCAGCCCAGAUUUUGUGGAUGGGUGGGAGCAUUUCCUCCUGCGCUGAGGCUAGCUAUUGCAGAGACUCCUUUCCACUCACCCCAUGCCUCUGCCUGCGGACUUAACUGUUCGGGGCCAGGGUGGGAGGCGGGCACAUGGGAAAGCACUGUUCCGAUUCUGUUCCUGUGCCGAGUCUGAGCACGCGCCGGCUCUGCUGCUGGACGUACCUGGAUGUUGCCCAUGACCCCCGUGGACUCCAUCCUGCUGGCUACAUUGACCGUAUUGCCCCAGAUGUCGUAGUGUGGUUUCCGGGCUCCGAUGACCCCAGCCAGAACCCCGCCUUUGUUCAUGCCUAGGGUGGAAGCAUAAAGUUCAGCACAGCCACAGGCCAAACCUUGUCAUGAGCCUCAGAAACCAACUCCUCUUUUAUAGAAUUUGUCACCAGACCUGUACCACAAAGCUCCUAAUUAUGUAACACAUCAUUGUCCUCGUUCAACUUGCCUGUAUGCUACUGGAGGGUGGCAGUCACGUCUCCUGUUUAUCUGUGUGCUUGGCAGUGUCAGCUGCCACCCCCCCAUAUGCAGAUUUACUCGGCAUGGUAGUGACCAGUUCUAAUACACCUGGUAUUUCAAGUCUCCUGUGACCUCGCUCCGGAAUGAGACGCCCUCAGUGGAAGAGCAGGUGAUCUGAACUCCUUUCAAAGAGCAGGCUGGUCUGGGAAGCCAUGCCCUCAGCAGGCACAGAAACCCCUCUGGAAAUGGAUCACAAACUCACUUCUCGGCCAGGCAGGCCAGGCUUCUGUUGUAAACAGUACGCACAGUAUAGCCUGACCAUCACAUCAGCUGGGUUUUGGUUUAGUCAUCUAGAAGAGUCUGGACUAAAGGUCUUUCAGGUCCCCUCACCCUGUGAGUGCGUGAACCUCCCCACCCGAAUGCCUCAGGCCUCCUGUCUCUCCUGGUGGGCCGAGCCCCUGCCACAGGGCAGGCCGGCUGGGGGCGCUCACCUAUGCGCAGCAUGAAGUUAUUGAAGGACUGAUUGUUGAUGUUGGUGAGCGUAUCCUUCAUGGCCAGUGCAAAGUCGGCCAGGUCAGCCAGGUGCUGCCAGCGUUCUCUCUCAGACUUGUCCUCCUGUGCCAGGGGACCGUGGAGAAAGUGUCAGGGGCCGCUCACCGCAGCAGCCUGCUCUGCUGCCUUCCCUGGCAGUGUUCUGGGGGUGGAUUCCCCACAGCUAGAUGUUCAAGGCCUGACUUCCCUUCCUCCCACAAAGGAGUCGGCAGCCGCGCUAGCUCCGACUUGCCACUGUGACAGAGUUCACGUAGCAGGUCUAGGCAAAGUCUGGGCAAUGGGGGUAGAGGAGACGGAUCCGUGAGUCUGACCACGAGGCGGGCUCCUUCACCUUGGCUGGGCCUGGUCCUUAGGUUUUGUCAAGUUGUCCUUGUUUGGAUCCCUCAACUAGGUGAUAAGCACUGGAGGGGGUGACCCGCCUUGGACAUGUUUCUGUAACCUCAUCCAUACGAUAGAGAGGGCCAUGGGAUGGUCUUAGAGGUAAAGCAGGAUGAUGAUGUUUUAAGACCAGAGCUUGGGACCAGGGCUCCUACACCCCAUUUUCUCUCCUGGUAGCUGAACACAGGUCUAAAUUAGCUUAACAAAUGAACAGGCUGCCAUUGACCAGAGUUCUGAAGGCCACACUUUUUAAGUUUCCCUUGUUAACAAUUGCUCUCCAGUUCCUAUGAAAGCACAGAGCCUUAGGGGGCCUGGCCACAGAACACAACCAUCUUAGGUCUGAGCUGUGAACAGCAGGGGGUGGUGUGUGUGCUAUUUCUCUGCUUGCCAGACUUUCUUAAUAAACCCUACUAUUUAUAUUUA